UGGGGAAUAUUGCGCAAUGGGCGAAAGCCUGACGCAGCGACGCCGCGUGAGGGAAGAAGGCCUUCGGGUCGUAAACCUCUGUCUAGAGGGAAGAAACCAUUGAGGUCGAACAGGCCUCUUUGCUGCCGGUACCUCUGAAGGAAGCACCGGCUAACUCCGUGCCAGCAGCCGCGGUACUACGGAGGGUGCGAGCGUUAAUCGGAAUCAAUGGGCGUAACGCGCACGUAGGCGGUGUCGUAAGUCGGAUGUGAAAGCCCUCGGCUCAACCGGGGAACUGCAGUCGAUACUGCGAUGCUUGAGUGCGGGAGAGGGUGGCGGAAUUCCAGGUGUAGGAGUGAAAUCCGUAGAUAUCUGGAGGAACACCAGUGGCGAAGGCGGCCACCUGGCCGGCAACUGACGCUGAGGUGCGAAAGCGUGGGGAUCAAACA
rnacentral:rRNA from 1 species